rnacentral:rRNA from 1 species
AUGGCUAUCUUCGACGAGUUCUACGUUGGCUCCAUUGACCUCGGGCGACUCAACUACGGGAUCAUCUCGCUCAUCCCGAAGGUUGCCGGGGCGACUGACAUUCAUCAAUUUCGGACGAUUACGGUCAUCAACGUCAUCUUCAGGAUCCUGGCUAAAGGGUACGCCAAUAGGGUGACCCUGCUGGCUGACCGUGUCACGCACCCCAACCAGACGACUUUCAUUAAGGGCCGGUACAUCCUGGAUGGGGUCCUAGUCCUUCAUGAAGUCCUCCAUGAGGUCCGCUCCAAAAACCUCAAGGCGGUCUUUCUGAAGAUUGACUUUCAUAAAGCCUAUGUCACUGUUAGCUGGCCCUUCCUUAGGGAGGUCCUU